rnacentral:rRNA from 1 species
UCCGGCGGGUCGGGCGCCGCGGCGCUGCGGGGGGCUCUCGCGGGCCCCCCGCGGCGAUUCAGCGGGUCAAGCCCGGCCGUCUCGCCGUGCGCGCGCAGGCACGACAACMUGCGCGCGAGUCGUUCGCCCGGGCGGAGUGCACUUUUCCUUSGACAUAGUGCGUCGMGAUCCGUUGGUCGACGGUAGUAGGGCCCGGCMGUGUCCCCGCCGAACUGGGACGUCCAGUGGGGCGGGACCAGUUCGGCGAGAGCGACCGGKGUGCGCGCGCUCAGGMCGCUUCGCGGCGCCGGCGCGCGCUUCCCGGACCSCCGUGUAAGUCCGGUUCCGUAGGGGUUCCGGCAAUAACGACGGUCAUGGAAUUCGCGGAAGACGAACUGACCGCCUCUMUUYGGAGGGGCGGCGGGUCCCUCCGGAUMUGAGCUUGGCUCAUCAUMGAAACCCGSCCGAGGAGGCGACGAUCCGGUAGGCGCCGCCCUARCAGRCGGCGCUCCGGGGAACRUCCCUCCGAGCUCACAGGCGUCUCUGGAGAGGGAAAG